UACGUAGGGGGCAAGCGUUGUCCGGAAUCAUUGGGCGUAAAGAGCGUGUAGGCGGCUCGAUAAGUCUGCUGUGAAAGUCCAGGGCUCAACCCUGGAAGGCCGGUGGAAACUGUCGGGCUAGAGUCCGGAAGAGGCGAGUGGAAUUCCCGGUGUAGCGGUGAAAUGCGCAGAUAUCGGGAGGAACACCAAUGGCGAAGGCAGCUCGCUGGGACGGUACUGAACGCUGAGACGCGAAAGCGUGGGGAGCAACAGG
rnacentral:rRNA from 1 species